rnacentral:rRNA from 1 species
GAUGAACGCUGGCGGCGUGCCUAAUACAUGCAAGUCGAGUGAAGCGGGGACGGGUGAGUAACACGUGGAUAACCUCCUAUAAGACUGGGUUAACUUCGGGAAACCGUACCUAUCCCCGAUACUUCUAGAUUGAUCUUCGCUGCAUUAGCUAGUUGUUAAGGUAACGGCUUACCAAGGCAACGAUGCAUAGCCGACCUGAGAGGGUGAUCGGCCACACUGGAACUGAGACACGGUCCAGACUCCUACGGGAGGCAGCAGUAGGGAAUCUUCCGCAAUGGGCGAAAGCCUGACGGAGCAACGCCGCGUGAGUGAUGAAGGUCUUCGGAUCGUAAAGCUCUGUUAUUAGGGAAGCGGUACCUAAUCAGAAAGCCACGGCUAACUACGUGCCAGCCGCCGCGGUAAUAC